UACGUAGGGACCGAGCGUUGUCCGGAAUCAUUGGGCGUAAAGAGCGUGUAGGCGGCCUUUUAGGUCCUGCGUGAAAUCCUGCGGCUCAACCGCAGACGGUCGUGGGAAACUGGAAGGCUAGAGUGCGGGAGAGGAGAGUGGAAUUCCCGGUGUAGCGGUGAAAUGCGCAGAUAUCGGGAAGAACACCCGUGGCGAAGGCGGCUCUCUGGAACGCAACUGACGCUGAGACGCGAAAGCGUGGGGAGCAAACAGG
rnacentral:rRNA from 1 species